GAUGUCCUUCAAGUCUACAGUGGAUCUGAAGGGAGGGCUAUUAUUUUCUGUGAGACGAAGAAGAAUGUAACUGACAUGGCCAUGAAUCCGCACAAAACAGAAUGCACUGUGUUUACAUGGGGACAUUGCACAGUCACAAAGAGAAAUUACACUAAAAGGCUUCAGAGAGGUAAUUAUAAAGUUUUGGUGGCAACCAAUGUGGCUCCUCGUGGUUUGGACAUUCCUGUAGUUGACCUGGUGAUUCAAAGUUCUCCUCCUCAGGAUAUUGAGUCCUAUAUCCAUCUCUCUGGAUGCGUGGGUAAAGCUGGACAGACAGGGGUUUGUAUAUGUUUUUAUCAACCAAGAGAAAGGUCAACUAAGACAUGUGGAACAAAAAACACAAAUUACUUUUAAAUGUGUAGGUGUUCCUUCUACAAUGGAUUUAGUUAAAUUUAAAAGCAUGGAUGCCAUAAGGUCUCUGGCUUCCAUUUCUUAUGCUGCUGUUGAUUUUUUUCCAACCAUCAGCUCAGAUACUGAUAGAAGAGAAAGGGGCGAUAGAUGCAUUGGCUGCAGCUUUAGCCCACAUUUCUGGUGUAUCAAGCUUUGAACCAUGAUCUUUAAUCAACUCUGAUAAGGGGUUUGUGACCAUGACUCUGGAAAGCCUAGAGGAAAUACAGGAUGUCAGCUGUGCUUGGAAAGAACUUAGAAAGCUGAAUAGUAAUGCAGUGUCUCAGAUUACCAGAGUGUGCCUCCUGAAAGGAAAUAUGGGUGUUUGCUUUGAUAUUCCUCCAAUUGAGUCAAAGGUUACAGGCAAAGUGGCAUGAUUCCGGCUGGAUACUCUCAGUGCCAGCUAAAUUACCUGAAAUUAAAGAAUAUUAUGAUGGAAACAUCUUUUAAUUCCAGACAGAGGAGUGGCUGGUCAGGCCAGUCAGGUUGUCGAUCUGGCAAUUGGUCAGGUAGAGAGAGUCGACAAAGCAGUUGCUCAGGAAAGUCGGCAAGAUGGUAGAAGACGAAGUGGAACAGAAAUAGAUCAAGAAGUGGGGGCCACAAAUGGAGUUUUGACUGA
rnacentral:lncRNA from 1 species